rnacentral:rRNA from 1 species
CAGUCUCAGAGACGUCUACAUUAGAUACCCGUGUAGUCCCAGCCGUAAACUAUGCUCGCUAGGUGUCAGGCAUGGCGCGACCGUGUCUGGUGCCGCAGGGAAGCCGUGAAGCGAGCCACCUGGGAAGUACGGCCGCAAGGCUGAAACUUAAAGGAAUUGGCGGGGGAGCACAACAACGGGUGGAGCCUGCGGUUUAAUUGGACUCAACGCCGGACAACUCACCGGGGACGACAGCAAUAUGUAGGCCAGGCUGAAGACCUUGCCUGAAUCGCUG